rnacentral:rRNA from 1 species
CCUACGGGUGGCUGCAGCGGGGAAUAUUGCACAAUGGGCGCAAGCCUGAUGCAGCCAUGCCGCGUGUGUGAAGAAGGCCUUCGGGUUGUAAAGCACUUUCAGCGGGGAGGAAGGCGUUAAGGUUAAUAACCUUGUCGAUUGACGUUACCCGCAGAAGAAGCACCGGCUAACUCCGUGCCAGCAGCCGCGGUAAUACGGAGGGUGCAAGCGUUAAUCGGAAUUACUGGGCGUAAAGCGCACGCAGGCGGUCUGUCAAGUCGGAUGUGAAAUCCCCGGGCUCAACCUGGGAACUGCAUUCGAAACUGGCAGGCUAGAGCCUUGUAGAGGGGGGUAGAAUUCCAGGUGUAGCGGUGAAAUGCGUAGAGAUCUGGAGGAAUACCGGUGGCGAAGGCGGCCCCCUGGACAAAGACUGACGCUCAGGUGCGAAAGCGUGGGGAGCAAACAGGAUUAGAUACCCUUGUAGUC